UACAGAGGUCCCAAGCGUUGUUCGGAUUCAUUGGGCGUAAAGGGUGCGUAGGCGGCGCGGUAAGUCGGGUGUGAAAUCUCGGAGCUUAACUCCGAAACUGCAUUCGAUACUGCCGUGCUUGAGGACUGGAGAGGAGACUGGAAUUUACGGUGUAGCGGUGAAAUGCGUAGAUAUCGUAAGGAAGACCAGUGGCGAAGGCGGGUCUCUGGACAGUUCCUGACGCUGAGGAGCGAAAGCGUGGGGAGCAAACAGG
rnacentral:rRNA from 1 species